CAGCUUUGCGAGGGUUAACACGCUUAAAUGUCUAACUCACGUCGGCCAUGGAUAACGAGAGCUCACAGUCCUUGGGAGUGGCCAGUGACUUUUGCACUGUGUUAUCCUCAAAGCGGGCAAAGAAGGUGUUACGUCUUGCUCCCAGACAAGCUUCAGUGUACGCGACGUGGCUGGUUUUCCCUUUGUAAUCCAUGAAUGUCUGGAGUCACUACCUUCUGAGUGGUCAGGCUGGGGACAGUGACACUGGAGAUGCGCGUUCAUGAGAAUUCUCUUUUUUUUUCAGCCUUUGAAUGAAUACAACGUCACCCGGUUGGAAUAUUAUCGCUAUUUUAUGAGAAAAAUAGCAUAAAAAUAGAUUUUAAACACCGUUUGACAUGCUUCGAAGUACAGUAAUAGAAUAUUUCGACAUUUUUUGUCACGAAAUGCGCUUGCGCGUCACCCUUCGGAUAGUGACCUGAACGCACGAACAAAACGGAGCUAUUUGAAUAUAAACUAUGGAUUAUUUGGAACCAAAACAACAUUUGUUGUUGAAGUAGAAGUCCUGGGAGUGCAUUCUGACGAAGAACAGCAAAGCCAUCAGCCCAGAAAAGCAUGAAGACAGAACAUCUUAAAGAUAAUCUAGGAAUCCAUUCUUCCUCAUGGAACAUUUUGAAGGAUGCAGGCUGUACACGUGAAAUACAGGGAUUGUCAGAAGUACAUUUGUUAUGAGGGGCAACUGACCUUCAAAUCCUUUUUGGAUUAUGUUGCCAAUAAAUUUGACAUUCCAACCUUGGACUUAAAAGUCUAUGAUGAAUCGAAGACUGAAGUUGAUGAGGUGUUUGAGAAACAAGACCUUGGUGUGCUGGGAGAUUUGUUUACCCCAAGACACAAAUCCUGAUGAUUCGUUGAGCUCCUCUGCAAUCAGCUCCUUAUCAAAAUACAGUAGAGACAAUGAGGGGGACUCCAAUGACACCAUUAUAUUGCAGCCGAGUCCUGCUACAAGAAAGACAGCUGAGGAUAAUUGUCUAUCUCAUAUGAUUGAAGACAUUCUGAAGAACAAACCUGGAGGAGAGAGGAUCAUGAAUGAGUAUGCUCGGACAAAAAUCCUAACAGAUAGCAGAAGACGUGAUAUGGUCAAGAUAUUGGUUGCACAAAUGACAAGUGAACAUGGGACAAGUCCUUCAAGGCAUGUUAAAGAGGACUACGCAAAGGGCAUCAUUGCCUUGUUCCCAUACCUGGCCGAUCCUAGGAGCAAGUUUGGUUAUGAGCAUUAUUACAAUGCAGAAGAUGGGAGUGGAUAUCUAGCAUGGAGACUGAAAUCAGAGGGACGACAGAAGACCAUUUGAUUGUAGUUAGUCUCAUUCAUGACACAUGACCAGAGAAUAAUUGUGGUCCAAAAGCUGAUAGAGACCCCUUCAGAGAGGAAAACUGUCCAACAACAGAAAGCCUGUGUUGUGAGGCCAUUGCACUGAAGAAUACAGCUGGUGAAGCAAUUGUAAAGGAGAAGAUGAAGCAGACGUUCGCCUAUCGCCAAAAGAUGGUUCAUGACCCGGUGAAGUCCUCUGAAAUAUUCACAGCUGUUCCAAGACAUAGCAGGAAUGAUUGAGCAAGAUUUUAGUCUGAUGUUUGGUGAUGCAACCUCUGCAAAGUUCCUGGAGAAGUGGCCUACUCUCUACAAGCAGAAAGUCAUUGACCAAAGCCGGGGCUUUACAUAGACAGAUGACCUGCAAGACCUGGUUCAAAAUGCUGAAUCCACAACAGAAGUGGAAAAUGGAUGGGACAGUGACAUGUCCCCCACUUUGGUCUUUGUCCACCUUCUGCCACCGUCACCUCAUGGCCGCAAGACACCAGGAAAAAUCUCAGCCAGACAUGCCAGUGACCACAUUGUGAAGUUUAUCAAGACUGGGACCAGCAUCCAGGGGCAUCUGGAAAGCGUCAUGGAAAGCCUUCAACCCUAUCAGCUUGCUGUGGGGACCCAGAGGAGUGGGAUUCACAAGUACUUCAUUGUGAUUGACAAACAUGCAAUACCUUGUAAGUCACCAGACCCUCUUGCCUGUUUUGAUGAGCUAAUUUUGUCUUUGUUACCUCAUACAACCAGGAUCUGGUUAAUGUGUACAACUUCUUGCAAACCACAAUUUAUGAAAUUGAUGUUGAUACCACUAAGGUUAAUCCUAUGGUUGCAGAGUUGAGGGCUCGGAUGCUGCAUUGAGUUACUAAAAGUUUUGAAGUUGCAAAGGGUUAAAACGCAGCAUAGGAAAUAACCUUUUUCAUUUCACACAAACCUUUUCAUAUCAUUCAUCUAAAAUGUUGUAUUUUGCUUGCAAAAGCCCCCAGGCAAAUGCUAAUUCCUUGACAAAACACUUUGUCCACAGACUUUGUCCAGGAAAGACAUUUCGUCUUAAAUGCGGUUAGGCUGGUUGUUCACAAGUUUAUGGCACUUUUUCUGGGUUCAGAAAGCAUCUUAUAAAGCACAUGAACCUUGUUCUGAUCAUGAAGGCCCCUCUACAGCUGAAUAUAGCAGUCAUUUUGAUGACUUGCCAUCAACAAGUUCCCCUUCUGACUCAGUCCUUGUCAAUAAGAGUCUUGCGCUGCAACCAUAGCUGAAUUUAAAGUGCCAGGUGUAGGUGAAACAACCAGUAACUCUUUGGUAAUUUCCAUGCAAGAGAUAAUUGAUGAUAUUCAUAGUCAAGCUAAAGAAUCUGUGAAGAAGUGUGUCUAUACAGGAGCCUAUUAAAAGUGACAUUGAGUGUAAAAUUGAUCAGUGUUUUCAAAAAAUUGAAAAUCCUUUUGGUGUAUUAAAUUCUGAAAGUAAGAGAAGGCAGUAUUUUAUAGAAAAGUGGGGAAGGGUAGACCCAGUGAAUACGUUCUUGGUACAAGAUCUGAUACUCAACGCAAUCGGACUACUGGAGGCUAUGAUCCAUUUUGUUGUUUCUAAUACAUUUGUUUACAUGCCAAUUUUGAAAACAUUACAGUUUAUUUUCAAACACCCUAAUAAAAAGGAGAUGAUGCAGACCUGAUUCCAGUUCAAGAAAACUUUGACUUAUGUGAUGGAGAUCUGUUCAAGAGCCAUGCUCUAUUUUCAAAACAGAAGCAUGCAAUUCAGAUACAGCUUUUCUAUGAUUUUGAAACUGCAAAUCCUCUUGGAUCAAAACAGGGAAUACAUAAGUUUCACCUUACGGAAUUUUCCUCCAAAGUUCAAGUCAUUUCUGCUUAAUAUUCAUUUGGUUGCUUUAUUUCAUGCCCAAUACGUUUAAACAUAUGGCUUUUCUAAAAUACUUGAUCCAAUUGUGCAGGAUAUUAAAGUACUUGAGAGGGAUGGAAUUAUGGUCCCCUUGUAUGAUCAACCAGUGUAUGGAACUAUUGUCCAAGUUACAGGUGACAACCUUGGUCUUCACUGUUUAUUUGUUUUUGUUGAAUCAUUCAGUGCCAGAUAUUGUUGCCUCUUUUGCCUUGCUGAGAAAGAGGACUUUCAGACUGAAUUUGAUGAAGAUUCACCCUAGAUAGUUAUGCCAACUCGAGCACUUCAUGCAAUGGCAGACAUUUAACACCAACAGAGUAAUGAUCGGUCCGGGUAAAAUGCUAUCUUUAAAUAUGGUGGACUGGGGCUGUAAGAUGGCUGAGAUUCUUCAGGUACCAAUUGACACCAUGGUUUUAAAUGUUAAAUGGGCCAAACACCAUGGAAAUAUGUAUCGUUUAGUUUGUCUUAAAGUCAUUGUGAGAUGCCAGUUUUUCAGAAAAUCCACCAUGUUGUUACUGUUUACUUUUGCCCUACAAACAAUAUAUAUUGAUGAGCAUUUUAAUGCAUAUAGAGUUGGGUGUACAACAGAGGGAUCUUAUGUAGUUGAUGUUAAAGAGCUUUUCUGUCUCAAAGCAUUUGAUAUACAGAUGUCUUACAGUUAUGAUUCAAGUUUGUUUAUUGUCCCAUACUGUUUCCUGUGACUCUAAAAACUGCACAGUAAGCUCUUUAAAACCAAGAUGUAUUGUAUUGCAAUAUUGGCUUUUUUAUUUACUUCUAAUAAAGGUGGGACAGAUAUCAAAAUGUAAUUUUACAGAGGCCACAAUUUUAUCAUCAGUGUUUUUGAUAUGAGAUGCCAGUUUCAUAAAAUCCUCCAUGUCAUUGUUAAAUGAUUGAAUUGCAAUAUUGAGCCUUUUUAUCUACAUGUAUUAAAGUGAACAGAGGCCAACAUUUCAUUUUAGUCCACAUUUGUAUUUUAUCAGUAUGUUGAUGUAUGUAUUGCAAAUGUCUUACAUUUAAGAAUAAAGUGAUUUGUUAAAUACUGA
rnacentral:lncRNA from 1 species